rnacentral:rRNA from 1 species
GGAGUUAGCCGGUGCUUCUUCUGUGAGUGAUGUCCUUCCUGCCGGUUAUUGACCCGCAGGCCUUCUUCCUCACUGAAAGUGCUUUACAACCCGAAGGCCUUCUUCACACACGCGGCAUGGCUGGAUCAGGGUUGCCCCCAUUGUCCAAUAUUCCCCACUGCUGCCUCCCGUAGGAGUCUGGGCCGUGUCUCAGUCCCAGUGUGGCUGAUCAUCCUCUCAGACCAGCUACGGAUCGUCGCCUUGGUGAUCCGUUACCUCACCAACCAGCUAAUCCGACAUAGGCUCAUCCGAUAGCGCGAGGCCCGAAGGUCCCCCGCUUUCCCCCGUAGGGCGUAUGCGGUAUUAGCCUGGGUUUCCCCAGGUUAUCCCCCACUACCGGGCAGAUUCCUAUGCAUUACUCACCCGUCCGCCGCUCGCCACCAGGGAGCAAGCUCCCCGUGCUGCCGCUCGACUUGCAUGUGUUAGGCCUGCCGCCAGCGUUCAAUCUGAGCCAUAAUCAAACUCUGA